UACGUAGGUGGCAAGCGUUAUCCGGAUUUAUUGGGCGUAAAGGGAACGCAGGCGGUCUUUUAAGUCUGAUGUGAAAGCCUUCGGCUUAACCGGAGUAGUGCAUUGGAAACCGGGAGACUUGAGUGCAGAAGAGGAGAGUGGAACUCCAUGUGUAGCGGUGAAAUGCGUAGAUAUAUGGAAGAACACCAGUGGCGAAAGCGGCUCUCUGGUCUGUAACUGACGCUGAGGUUCGAAAGCGUGGGUAGCAAACAGG
rnacentral:rRNA from 1 species